rnacentral:rRNA from 1 species
UACGGAGGGUGCGAGCGUUGUCCGGAAUCACUGGGCGUAAAGGGCGCGUAGGCGGCGCAGCAAGUCGGCGGUGAAAGCCCGAGGCUCAACUUCGGGUCGGCCGUUGAUACUGCUGUGCUUGAGCACUGUAGAGGCAGGUGGAAUUCCGGGUGUAGCGGUGGAAUGCGUAGAGAUCCGGAAGAACACCGGUGGCGAAGGCGGCCUGCUGGGCAGUUGCUGACGCUGAGGCGCGACAGCGUGGGGAGCAAACAGG